UACGUAGGGGGCAAGCGUUAUCCGGAUUUACUGGGUGUAAAGGGAGCGUAGACGGUGAUGCAAGUCAGAAGUGAAAGCCCGCGGCUCAACUGCGGGACUGCUUUUGAAACUGUAUAACUAGAGUGCAGGAGAGGUAAGCGGAAUUCCUAGUGUAGCGGUGAAAUGCGUAGAUAUUAGGAGGAACACCAGUGGCGAAGGCGGCUUACUGGACUGUAACUGACGUUGAGGCUCGAAAGCGUGGGGGGCAAACAGG
rnacentral:rRNA from 1 species